AUGAAAAGCUUUGAUACAGAUAUUUCCCCCAAGCCCACCAUUUUUCUUCCUUCAGUUGCUGAAAUAGAUCGCCAUAAGGCCGGGACAUAUCUUUGUCUUCUUGAGAAUUUUUUCCCCGAUGUUAUUAAGGUAUAUUGGAAAGAAGGGGAUGGCGAUAAGAUUCUGGAAUCCCAGCAGGGAAACACGAUGAAGACUAAGGACACAUACAUGAAGUUCAGCUGGCUAACUGUGAGUGAAGAUUCAAUGAAUAAGGAACACAGAUGUAUCGUCAAACAUGAGAAAAAUAAAAGAGGAGUUGAUCAAGAGAUUCUGUUUCCAAUACAGAAAGUUAGGGCCACCAUUAAGCCCACAGAAGCUGGUCUGGAAGAUGACAGUGAUGAUUUCUCUAAAUCAACCGCCAGAUAUGUGCAAUUCAGUAAUGCACUCCAGAAUUGGACAGAACCUUUGGGAUACAAUGCUUCUGCCUUCCGUUUGCUACAAACUAUUACUCUCAGAGAAGCCAGUUUGAAAGGUGUCAAUGCCACAGAUCUUAAAGCUCGUUUGGAGGGUGAAAAUGAUGUGUUUCAGCUGCAGCUUACAAGCACCUCUGCCUACUACACCUACCUCCUCCUGCUCCUCAAGAGUGCCCUGUACUUGUCCAUCGUCACCUUCUGUCUGUUUAGAAGAAUAGCUGUCUGUGAUGAUGUGAAGAGGUCCUAACAGAUGGUGGCACAAAGAUUCGUCUUGUCUUCAUCAAUUAUUGUCCAAAACAGCAUCUACAGAGGGUGUAGCUUGGCUGGCUUGCGGGGCUCUGACUCCUUAAUGUUACAAGUGUAUUUUUCUAUCAUUACUGCAUUAGAUUUUCCAACUCACAGCCCCUCUCGCAUCCCAAAUCAUUCUGGUCCUAGUGCGCACAGCUCAAUGCUUUUAGUUAUGACCCAUCACGUAGAUAAUACCCUACAAGC